rnacentral:pre_miRNA from 1 species
GGGGAGGCCGGAUCCUGGGCUGUGUCCCGGCGCCCUGUGCUCCGGGGCCUGCGCUGUUGGAUUCGCGCUCCCGCCCCGCAGCCCCCU